GGGCCUGUGCCCCCCCCCAGAUCACAGCUAGGUGUGUAAACUGGAUAUGCCUAUUGUGUGGUUUCUGUGUCUUUUUUUAAGGCCUGGGGGGUAUACCACGAACCUCGCUAAACAUACUCAGGCUUUCUUGGGAAAGCCUGGCUCAACAGAGACGCAACUGGCAAUCAGAGUUAAAUGGUACCACGACACUCACUUUAGAUUCAAUAAGUCGAACCAGGUUUUCCGCUUUAGGUUCAAUGCGCGUUCACAUAAAAGGGGCGUUUAUCGCGUCAUUUGAGUCACCCUUAUCCAAAAUGAAUCGAGCGAGAGCGGUGUAUUACACCCAAGACGAGCAUUGUAUUAUUAUGAAUUACUACGAGGAAUUCAAAGUCCAAAUCACAGCCAAGGGGAACACGGUUGCCCAUAAUAAGGCUAGGGUGGCGUGCUGGCAGAAAUAGCCGACCGUGUUAAUUCGUAAAUGAAAAGAUUAUGCAUAUUGUCUAAAAAAUAGUCAAAAUAAAUAAAUAAAAAUAUAUAUUUUAUAAAUAUAAAAAUAUUAUUCAAUGUGGUAAGUUGUAAGCAUCCAUUUGAAUAAUUUCAGGUGAAUCAAGCCUAUGAUUUGCAAUGGCCUAGGCUCAGACCUUUAAUCUUAUGUUGAUUACCUGUAGCAAAUAAAAAGAGAACCCAAAUGAAUACGACUGGGAGGGGGACUGCUCCACCGCCCUUCCCCACUUCGGAGGAGCUGGCUCUCACCAAUAACGAAGGUCGGUCGAUGAUGGUGGGAGUGGAAGGGGGGAUGUCCUCUGACCCCACUGCCUCGACAUCCAAGGCGUUUGUAAUGAAUGAAGGAGCUGAUGCAGCAGACGGAUUGAAACUACAUUUUACCGGACCAGUGACCUUAUUUGAAUUCCCUACACCAUGUUUUAGCCCUGCUAUUGUUUCUUCGUACACCUUUAGCUGGGGAGGCUCUUUAACGGAAGGACUAAAUCAACGAGUGCCUAAUCUUGAUGAGCUCUGACUCUAUACUCAGGAAACGUGAACUAUAGCCAAACCUUACCCAAAUGGGUCCCUUGCCCUUUACCCUCUAAAGGUUCCUCCUCUUCCCCACUGAGGCCCCUGUACUCAAUGCCUUAAUGUUUCAAGAUUAUUGUGGCGAGAAGGAUGAGACGGGAGCCCAAGUUUAGCAGUUUGCUGCAGUUCCGCGCCCCAUACGCGGCACGACUACAGACU
ensembl:lncRNA